rnacentral:rRNA from 1 species
CGUCCGUAGCUGGUCGCACAAGUCCGUCGGGAAAUCCGCCCGCUCAACGGGCGGCCGUCCGACGGAACCUGUGUGGCUUGGGACCGGGAGGCCUGAGGGGUACGAUCGGGGUAGGAGUGAAAUCCUGUAAUCCCGCUCGGACCGCCGAUGGGGAAACCACCUCAGGAGAACGGAUCCGACAGUGAGGGACGAAAGCCAGGGUCUCGAACC